UUGCUCAGAUAUGACGAUGGACAUUGCAAAGAGUGGCGAACGGGUGAGUAACACGUGGGAAACCUACCUCUUAGCAGGGGAUAACAUUUGGAAACAGAUGCUAAUACCGUAUAACAAUAGCAACCGCAGGGUUGCUACUUAAAAGAUGGUUCUGCUAUCACUAAGAGAUGGUCCCGCGGUGCAUUAGUUAGUUGGUGAGGUAAUGGCUCACCAAGACGAUGAUGCAUAGCCAAGUUGAGAGACUGAUCGGCCACAAUGGGACUGAGACACGGCCCAUACUCCUACGGGAGGCAGCAGUAGGGAAUCUUCCACAAUGGGCGAAAGCCUGAUGGAGCAACGCCGCGUGUGUGAUGAAGGGUUUCGGCUCGUAAAACACUGUUGUAAGAGAAGAAUGACAUUGAGAGUAACUGUUCAAUGUGUGACGGUAUCUUACCAGAAAGGAACGGCUAAAUACGUGCCAGCAGCCGCGGUAAUACGUAUGUUCCAAGCGUUAUCCGGAUUUAUUGGGCGUAAAGCGAGCGCAGACGGUUAUUUAAGUCUGAAGUGA
rnacentral:rRNA from 1 species